UGGGGAAUAUUGCACAAUGGGCGCAAGCCUGAUGCAGCCAUGCCGCGUGUAUGAAGAAGGCCUUCGGGUUGUAAAGUACUUUCAGCGGGGAGGAAGGUGUUGAGGCUAAUAACCUCAGCAAUUGACGUUACCCGCAGAAGAAGCACCGGCUAACUCCGUGCCAGCAGCCGCGGUAAUACGGAGGGUGCAAGCGUUAAUCGGCAUUACUGGGCGUAAAGCGCACGCAGGCGGUCUGUCAAGUCGGAUGUGAAAUCCCCGGGCUCAACCUGGGAACUGCAUUCGAAACUGGCAGGCUAGAGUCUUGUAGAGGGGGGUAGAAUUCCAGGUGUAGCGGUGAAAUGCGUAGAGAUCUGGAGGAAUACCGGUGGCGAAGGCGGCCCCCUGGACAAAGACUGACGCUCAGGUGCGAAAGCGUGGGGAGCAAACA
rnacentral:rRNA from 1 species